GACGUAGGGCGCAAGCGUUGUCCGGAUUUAUUGGGCGUAAAGAGCUCGUAGGCGGCUCAUCGCGUCUGCCGUGAAAACCCGCAGCUCAACUGCGGGCUUGCGGUUGAUACGGGUGGCUGGAGUUCGUAGGGGAGACUGGAAUUCCUGGUGUAGCGGUGAAAUGCGCCAGAUAUCAUGAGGAAGACCAGUGGCGAAGGCGGGUCUCUGGACAGUUCCUGACACUGAGACACGAAGGCCAGGGGAGCAAACGGG
rnacentral:rRNA from 1 species